rnacentral:lncRNA from 1 species
GGACAGAUGAGUCUUUUUAAAAUGGCUUAACAGUAGUUUGUGGGAUUUUAAUUAUGCCAUCUUGCCUGGAUUCCUCGGGGACGGACAUCAGAGGGCUCCAUGACACAUCUGCUCUCGCUUCCUGGUAGUUGCUCCAGCCAUGUGAAGUCCCCGUGGUUCAUUCAGUGCAGGGCCUGGGGUGAUGUGGUCACAAGCGAGGAAAGUCGGAGAUCCCCAGCAGGUAGAGGGGCUGCACAGACCCCUGGAGCGCCCGCGGGAGUGCAGCCCUGCCCCGGCCAGGGUCAGUCUCCUGGGAGGAACUGUCGUCUUGAGGGCGAUUGGUUCUGGCGGCCUAGAAAGCACAGGCAGGAAGCCUCCCGGUGCCAGAGGGCUAAGGCUGGACUCUGCUUCUCAGGAUCAACAUUUUGGAGGCAAUUCCAUGGGAGGAAGCUGAAUUCACUCGUGUCUCAAGAUCAUUUCAAUUCUAGCAUUGUGCGAGCCUCACUUUGGCAUGGGUAUCUCACCAAGAUCAAGCCUCAUCUUAUUACUUAUUAACUAAUUUCUGUGCAAAUAGGUUUAAUGACUAGAAUAUUAAUAUGUGGCUACUGAUAGAUUAUGGUUUGAAGGUUCUAUUUCAAAAAUUGUUACUAUACAACCUUGGUCUAUGCACUCUUAUUUUGACACAAAAGUUUGAAUCAACCAAGAUGAAAAAAAUUAACUGUUCAGAUUAUGCAGCUGUCAUUUUUCAUGCUCCUUGGGAAUAUUUGCUGGAAAAAUAAAUGGAGUUAGGUUGCUACAUUUGUUACCAAAUCAUUGGAAAUUCCCUUAUUGCACUUUGAAUCAUCCUGAGACACACUUAUUUUUAGCCAUUUUCUUGAUGUUGUCAUAAAUCAGGUUCCAUCUCCAC